AGGACGAACGCUGGCGGCGUGCCUAACACAUGCAAGUCGAACGGGGUCCAACCGGUGGCAACACUGGUGAAGACCUAGUGGCGAACGGGUGAGUAUCACGUGAGCAACCUGCCCCGAAGACUGGGAUAACACCGGGAAACCGGUGCUAAUACCGGAUACCCCCACCGGAUCGCAUGGUCUGGUGAGGAAAUGAAUUUUGCUUUGGGAGGGACUCGCGGCCUAUCAGCUUGUUGGUGGUGUAACGGCCACCAAGGCUUCGACGGGUAGCUGGUCUGAGAGGACGAUCAGCCACACUGGGACUGAGACACGGCCCAGACUCCUACGGGAGGCAGCAGUGGGGAAUCUUGCGCAAUGGGCGAAAGCCUGACGCAGCAACGCCGCGUGAGGGACGAAGGCCUUCUGGGUUGUAAAACCGUCUUUUCAGCAGGGACGAUGAUGACGGUACCUGCAGAGAAGCCCGGCCAACUACGCGCCAGCAGCCGCGGU
rnacentral:rRNA from 1 species